UUCCUGCAGUCACGAAAGCUUCAAAUCAAGAUGGUAAUUUUACUUUAAAUUGUAUUUCAGUAUACUUACAAGAAAGAAUGGGGUUGACUGGUACGAGAAAGGCUGCUGCUGUCUGUCGUGUGUGGAGUUCAGCGAAGGACAUUUUCCCUCUACGGCCUGCACGCUCCCUAAAUCAGCGUUGGCCGCACUGUGGGCUCAUGAAUGCAGGGAACUGCUGCACGAUGCCCCGUGUAUCUUGGUUUCACCAAGGUGAUGGAUGGCGAUGUCCGGACGGCUCCCCGUGUAUGCGGCUUUGAGCCUGGAGCUGUUGUAUCGGGCCCUGCCGCUUGUUGAUGGGGGGGAGGGGUCGACCUUUGCGGGUUGACGGAGGAGAUGUCUUUAUUGGCGCUCGCCGUCCUUCAUCCUGCAGGGCGGAUCGCGCGACGGAAUGGCAGUCUCUUACGGCGUUCGCCGGCAUGCAUAACAGGAUUGGGGGCUUUUGUGGCCCAUGGCUGAAUCGAGACGCGAGGACUUGGCAGUUGCCGUCACCGGUGAACGAUGCUGUAGCUCGCGUAAGGUGAACUGGAGUUUCGGAGAAAAUGUGGUAUUCAAAGCUGGUUGACUGGAGUUAUUUGACAAUGUUUGCUUUAUUUACAAACGUUUCGGUGAAAAAAUGUUACGUUUAUAUUCAUGUUGAAUUCAAUAUUUUCGGAAUAAAAUAAACGAACCUCACGUGGACACCAUUGCUCCUAAUUUAAUUGUCCCUUCAUGGUUAGACGAGAAAUAUUCACCUGAUUUAGAUUUUGUGUAUAUUUUUUCAAUUGAUUGAAGAAAUCUAUAAGAAUUGCGAUUGAACAGUUAAUCAAUAAGGAAUACUAAUGUGUGACAUUCAUGCUCAUCAAUGUAUCUGUGUAGAGAACCUAACUCGAGACCAUGAUCCUUUAAAACCCUGUUGUACUUUAAUUAUCCCAAUGAAUUUUCACUGGAUUAUCUAUGUUGCAUUCAUAACGCAAUGCGGAAAAACACAUGUGAGGCUGUAUAUAGGAAUGAAUUUGAUUAUAUUUGUUUUCACUAAUGGUUGUGUCAUGACAUUAUCCUCAUGGAGCAAUAGUAGCCCAAUGAAUGCAGUCCCAUCAGAAAAACAAACUAACAGGGACAUAAAUGACCAAAAACUUUUGAAAUGUACUUAUCUGAAGCAGAUUUUGCCAAAUUUAAUAGAGGUUAAAAUGUAACUUUCAUCUUCUUCAUUUACAGACUAUGUUUUUUUAGAUGUGAAUAUGAUGAUGAUGAUGAUAAUAAUAAUAAUGCCAUUCUUGAUGGUAUUGAUGUUCAUUGUACAUAAGGAGACGUUCUCAACUUAAUUAUCUCAAUUAACAAAUCAAUCUAUUGCUCGUUAUGGGACGGAGUCGGUCUUUCUCAUGAAUUUAAAAUAAUUUGGAUGUUCAAAUGGCCGCAGAUGAAAUUUCAUGAGCACCGCAGUAAUGCUUACAGAAGAGAAAAUGCAAUUAACAAUCCGAAUCAUUCCUAAAAUGCUGUUCCCCAUUUCUUACGUAUGCAUUUAGACACAUGCAUUGAGAUCAUUUAGAUGAUUUUGGUGCUAUAAAUGUCCAAAUGAUGGGCGACUUUGUUUAGCUGCUAUCGUUUGUGGCCACGUCGCUUCUGAAAAGUGAAUACCUUCCUGGGGGUUGCCUGGCAGGAUGGCGACGGUUUAGUUUAAUUUUUGUAUGCGUUUGUGUGACUUGUUUAUCUUUGUUGUACUCUGCAUCACUACUAUCAUGUUUUUGUAUUGUUUGUUGUUGUAACGUUCUUACCCCACGCCCCUACUGGACUUCUGUGAAAAAGAGCUUUAUAGCUCAUCGGAUUUCUCCUGAAGUAUAAAUAAAUAUUCUGAUUCUGACCAAUGGCCCGAGUAUCUUCCUCUCCUCGCCAUCUUCAGUAACAGUGCCACGAAUUAUAUUUAUUUGUGUUUGCAGUGAUCAAUAUGCUUUGUCGAUCUCUCUGUACGUUCGUGCACGCAUAUCUGCCUACCUCAACACUUGUUUCCUGCCCUUGUAUAAACAUUUACAUACUUUAUAUCCAUAAUCCAUCACUUUUGCACACAUGCAUUAUAAAAAUUUUAAAAAUAAUGUCUUCAAUGAACAAGUCAAAGUCGUGUUUCGAACAUGCGACCGAAUAUUUUGCGCAUUUGUAAAAAAAAAAAUGUCACAUACGUCUUUAUACAGUUGAUAUAUCAAUUUGUGGUAUUGCCAUUAAUUCCCAUGUUUUGUGUAAAUCAGCAUCAGAUGCUGUUCCGUUUG